UACGGAGGGUCCAAGCGUUAUCCGGAAUCAUUGGGUUUAAAGGGUCCGUAGGCGGUUUUGUAAGUCAGUGGUGAAAGCCCAUCGCUCAACGGUGGAACGGCCAUUGAUACUGCAAGACUUGAAUUAUUGGGAAGUAACUAGAAUAUGUAGUGUAGCGGUGAAAUGCUUAGAGAUUACAUGGAAUACCAAUUGCGAAGGCAGGUUACUACCAAUAUAUUGACGCUGAUGGACGAAAGCG
rnacentral:rRNA from 1 species